CGACUUGCGAGGAAUCUCACUGAGAGUCCGCCGUUGGCGACUGAGCCGAAAAUUACAACACUACUGCUGUUGAGUUCCUGAGGCGGCUUCCGGGCGUGACGGACUCCAACUACAGGUCUCUGAUGGAUGGGUCACCAGCAU